GUAAAUAUGCCCUAAAAAUUUUUAAUAUUUGGGGUUAAUUUAGUUUUAAUUGAUGAUUAGUUGUCUCUUUACU
rnacentral:tRNA from 1 species